UGCCUGGGAGUGGCAGGGUGGCUGGCCAGGCGCCGCAGGGGACGGCCACUGCUCCGGACAUCAUGGCAUAUGGAUAACCUGGAGUCUGAACUGCCACUUAAUAUUCUCAACGCUGUGCUGACUAAUAAAGAAGAGGCACAGUGGGCAAGACUGGGAAGGCAGACAGAAGAGGAGGAUGGACUGGGACGGCCAGUACUAUGGGUCUGGCUGUGGCAUCCUACCCACCCCCCAGAUGCCCCCACGCUAACUGCCCUGGCGCAACCCUAACAUUGGCCCUGCACACUCCUGGGGUGUGGUUGGGGGCUUUGUACUGGGGCGGCCAGGGCGGGGGCAGGGUGGAGCGACAGGGCCGGGGUACAAGAUGAAGAAAACGUUGCCGGCUAAGAAGAAAAUAGGAGCUAAGGAGGUUAAGACAAGUGGUGGUGGUGGUGGUGGUGCUGAUGGUGGUAUGAAACCAAGAAUAAGACUGCAUCAUCAGUCUGAUGAUAUUUGGAAUAUCAAUUAUUUAACUUCUGCAACACCUGAGGACAAGACAGGAGCCAGGUAGGAGGGUCAUAGGAUGCCAGUUGGAUGUGGUGAAGGAUGUUUUUUGUCUGGGAAGGAUAAUGAGGAAGUGAAAUUGAGUUGCUGAUUUGUAGAUAAAAUGAUAAAAGAUGAAUAAGUGAAAUGAAAAAAAAAAUGUGUUUUGGAAUAUAUAGAACAGUGGGGCUUAGUGUGUGUGUGUGUGUGUGUGUGUGUGUGUGUGUGUGUGUGUGUGUGCUGGGGGAUGUAUCUUUGUUAAUUAGAAAGAAUAUAAGAGAUGAAUAUAAUGGUGGGAUAUAUAGCAAUUUUUUUUAGUUCAGAAGAAAUAAGUUUGGUUUGAGUUUAUAUAUGAAUGGGAAAAGGCUAAAAGAGAGAGAGAGAGAGAUUUAUAAUGAACUGAAAUGUAAAGCAGUACAAAGCUGUAAAAGAAAGGGAUUGAUGUUUAGUUUAGAUUAAUUUGCGUAAAGUAGAGUAAAAAAAAAAAAUGAUGUGUUUUGAGUUGAUGUAUCAGUGUAACCUAGAAAAUGGAGGAGAAAUUAUUGUUUCUUUAAAUUUUAUGUCAUUGUAAACUAGAAAAUAUAAAUAGUUUUUUUUCAUUCUAUAGAUCGUUAUAAAAUUGAAAAAUAAUAUAGCA